UACACACACAUGCGUCACACACUCGCGCGCACACACACACACACACACACUCGUGCCAGCUUGACUUCCUUAAACCAUAAAUUCUCGAUGUGUUUGAGGGUCAUAAGCGAUGGGAAAAGCCUCGAGGUAUCACAGCAGAACCCGAUCUACUGUCCAGAUGCAGCCAUUUCAAAAGUCCAAUGUUAAAAAAAAAGAAGAAAGUCUGCUGUGGGCGUCGAGAAUUAACCCCCCGUCAGCGUCACAGCACGCAGGCGACACUUCAGGUGUAUGACUAUUUGUUUGCAGUGCAAAUUACAAUGAAAAAAAAAAAGCACAGAGUAACCUUGUAGUCAUGAAGUUUUUCCAGAUAAAAGGCAUCGUUCGUCACUGAUCUUUAUUAUUAAACUACAGUAUAUGAAUCAUAAAGGAGAUGGAGAGUUAGUACAACAUAGUUUUAUUCUAAGGUUUUCAAGCUUUGUAACAUUUGAGACGAGACCUAAAAUGGAAACUGGAUGGAAAAUCUGGGCUUAAAACUAUAUAAAUUACUAUUUCUGAUUAAUCUGUAAACAUUUAGAUUAAACACUGUUCCUAUAAAAUGCCCAAAAGUAUUUGCAAGUGCCGUCGCAAGUUCAGACGACAAUGUGACAGACACACAAAAAUAAUUCACAUUGAUCCUCACAUGAAAGGAUCCCGUAUUUAUUUAUUUAUUUUUUGCCAUUUUAUUCUUAAAAAAUUCUUAGAUUUUUCUGCCAGUCAACUAAUUGAUUAAUUGACUAUUUCAGCCCCUUAAGAUGAACACUGCAGUGGCAUAUAUAUCAAAAAAAUACUGGUUCAGAGAAUGAAUGACAGCAUUAUUUCUGAACACAGGAGAGACACUUCCUCCUCGUAGGAGACAACAGGGAAUAAAACAAGCCGGGGUUGUUUGUGUUGUUGGGGGGUCCAGGCAGGCCACCGCAAGAGUCACUGUUCUUUUUCCUGCAUGCUAAUUCCGCCCUGUAGGGAAGACAUUCCUGCAUGGUGUGUGUGUGUGUGUGUUUGUGUGUGAUGCUUUCUACAUUUCUGUAGCAUUUACCGCGUUGCUGCAUUUGCUCCCAGCGUACGACACGGCCCCCACACCGAGAAGGAUUCCGAUCAAAUUCCUCUGUCGUGUCGUCUCACAAGGUGGACAAGCGUUAUUGUUGCAGAAUUCCCACCCAGGCGCGUGCGCGCACACACACACACACACACACACACACACACACACACACACACACACACACACACACACACACACACACACACACACACACACACACACACACACACACACACACACACACACACACACACACACACACACACACACACAUCCAUCCAUCCAUCAGAAGUGUCAGCGCAACACAAACAGAACAAAACAAAACAAAACAGAGGAAUUCCCUUUUUGUGUCGUGAUGUCUUUAUUUACACAGCGGAUACAACAAUGAGAGACGUCGCUCGGUUACAUUUGCCGCCGUGUCAACACGCUGUUCAAACAUUUAUGAUGCAACACUUUUGAUUAUUGUUUCUUUAUGACUCUAAAUUUCUCUUCAUGUCACACGGACACAAACACACUGUACAGCACCAGAGCAUGCUGUGGUGACAGACGACACUCCUUUACUUUAACAUGCAUCAACAGAGACGACUCACCAGGCUGUUUUAUUAUCCAUAAUUCAAAGUGACUACUAAGUGACUAACACAUUAUUUACUCAAUAAAUAAAUAAGCUUUUUUUUUUAACAUAUUACAUAUUACAUUUAUUUAUGUAGUUCUGCUGGUGAGUGAUUCUCCACAUGUGAAAUUUGCAUUAAAGUGAAGACAAUGUCAAACGUAGGCAAUGUCAAACCAUCUUUGGUCAUUAACGCCUCGUUUUCCUUCGCAGGGGAAAUUGGCCGUCGGUUGAUUUUUUCAAAAAUUGUUGUCAUCUUGGAAUAAAUCACUUUUUUAUUGCACUAAAUGUUCUUCUGAUCAAUAUCCACUUCAUGCAAUCGCUUUAAAUAAAGGCCCCUGGACCGCCACUCAUCCUUUCAGCGCCAGACGUACGACUGUCCGUCGCCGUUAACUUAACUCACGUACUAUAUAAUAGCUUAAAUAAAUAUUAAAUAUUUUAACUUCAACAAUGUGGACAUUCACUUUUCACUAGCUAACCGCAAAGUGGAUCCCCGGUCGGCUUUUACAAACAUAAUUCAAAGCAAAGCUUUUAUUGGUCAACACGAUGGCGUCCAUGUAUGAUGAACGUGAUGACGACACACUGAAGCCUCGAUGCUACGACAACGAACUGCAACACAUUUAUAUUUCAUGGCCUGUUGCCUGAGUCUCAUAUGGAAUGAGUCUACGAAGGCCUGUCGUGAUUAUGAAGUUGAGAAGUGUGUUGGUUUUAUUUGAUCUGUUGGCAGAUGAUGUACUGCAUCAUGAUGUGGACGAGUUGGCAUGGAAUGACUGCAUGUGUGCACCGAAACAGAGGCAGUGAUGUUGUGUUUGUCAGAGUUCCUGUUGUCAGUGUUCGGGGCUGAGCGGUGGACGGAUGUCCAGCGUCCUCGAUGAGCUGUCCUCUGCCACCACCUCGAGCCGCAGACAGAGCGAGCUCUGCUCCUCCUCGCCCUCCGAUUGGACGGACAGACGCAGCGUGCAGCCUUUCGGCAGCAGCUCCUGCUCGUACGCCGCGGCCAACUGGUUGACCACCCGCCGCUCCACCUGAGGGAUCAGCGACGAGGCGAGAGUUUGCUUUCACGUUUUUCAGAAAAUUGUAUCUACGUCGUUGAGUCAUUGAGUUUGCUUUUAGCUGUAGCGUUCCUAUUUUGUAUGCUGACUCAUUUGUUACUAACUUAAAUUCCUAUUUCAGUUGUAAAGUUACUGUUACUUUCUGCACCUGCUGUCCUGAGCUUCGCUGCUCAAUCCCGAAAAGCAAGAUAUGAACUGAUAUUGGACAUUGUUCUUUGCUUAUUGGAGGCUGUUCCUUGAUCAAGUAUGUAUCACAGACCUCAUCUACAAAAAAACAAAAAAAUGUUUUAACUCACAUGAAGUGUGACACUUAGAAAGAAAUAUCAGACUGUUGUUUUUCUGAGAAUGGAAAAUAGGCUCAUUAAUCAGAUGACUUUUUUCAUAGUUUUGGCCAUUGCUCCUGUCAGUUAUGAUAUUUUACUCACCAGUGUCAUUGGUGAGAUGUAAAUAAAUCCAGUGGAAGUCAAAAUGAUGGCAAAGUUGACAUGUUAUGUUUUAAAUAUUUGCAGCUUUCCUUACUGGCCUGUUUCAUUGUAGUGGCUUUGUCAACAUCUCUCUGUGUGAAAACUAAUAAAAAUGGUAGAUGAAACUAUGAAAACAUGAAAAAAAUAAAUCCUUUAAAUGAA